rnacentral:rRNA from 1 species
GAUGAACGCUAGCGACAGGCCUAACACAUGCAAGUCGAGGGGCAGCACAAGGUAGCAAUACUGAGGUGGCGACCGGCGCACGGGUGAGUAACGCGUAUGCAACCUGCCUGUAACAGGGGAAUAGCCUCUUGAAAGAGAGAUUAAUGCCGCAUAAUACGAGAUUCGGGCAUCCGGAUUUAGUUAAACAUUUAUGGGUUACAGAUGGGCAUGCGUUUCAUUAGGUAGUUGGUGAGGUAACGGCUCACCAAGCCGACGAUGAAUAGGGGUUCUGAGAGGAAGGUCCCCCACACUGGUACUGAGACACGGACCAGACUCCUACGGGAGGCAGCAGUGAGGAAUAUUGGUCAAUGGACGCAAGUCUGAACCAGCCAAGUCGCGUGAAGGAUGAAGGUAUUAUGUAUUGUAAACUUCUUUUGUCAGGGAAUAAUGGGUGUCACGUGUGACGCAGAGGAAUGUACCUGACGAAUAAGCAUCGGCUAACUCCGUGCCAGCAGCCGCGGUAAUACGGAGGAUGCGAGCGUUAUCCGGAUUUAUUGGGUUUAAAGGGUGCGUAGGCGGUUUGUUAAGUCAGUGGUGAAAGUUUGCGGCUCAACCGUAAAAUUGCCAUUGAAACUGNCGAACUUGANUACAGUAGAGGUAGGCGGAAUUCGUGGUGUAGCGGUGAAAUGCUUA